UAGCUUCAGCGAUGGAUCGGUUGAUUCGCGUAUCGAUGAAAAACGCAGCUAGCUGCGUUAUUUACCACGAAUUGCAGACGCUUAGAGUGGUGAAAUUUUGAACGCAUAGCGCCGUUGGGUUUCCCCUUCGGCACGUCUGGUUCAGGGUUGUGAACGAUAUAAUACAGCAUGGAUUGUUUUGCUGUGUGUCGAGUGGUACUUGCUGUGUUACAGCGAAUCCCAUUCAAGUGAAGAAAGUUUGCAACAUGGCUCUGUAUUAGUGUCAAAGCUCCUGAAUGAUGUGAACGCGAUUGUUACCGUGUCGAAUCGUACUCGGUGAGAUUGAGAUGGAUUUGAUCGGGGACCUGCUGUGAACAAUCGAUUGUUCUGACAUCAUUUGCAUUGCAACCUGAGCUCAGGCGUGACUACCCGCUGAACUUAAGCAUAUCAUUUAGCGGAGGAAAAG
rnacentral:rRNA from 1 species